UACGUAGGGGGCCAGCGUUGUCCGGAAUCAUUGGGCGUAAAGCGCGUGUAGGCGGCCAGGUAAGUCCGUUCUGAAAGCCCGGGGCUCAACCCCGGGAGGCGGAUGGAUACUGCUUGGCUCGAGUCCGGAAGAGGCGAGUGGAAUUCCCGGUGUAGCGGUGAAAUGCGCAGAUAUCGGGAGGAACACCAAUGGCGAAGGCAGCUCGCUGGGACGGUACUGACGCUGAGACGCGAAAGCGUGGGGAGCAAACAGG
rnacentral:rRNA from 1 species